GGGGCGGGGGUAUUGUGAUCCACUUCAGACGCAGACAACUACUGGGACCAGAAAGAAUAUGUUGGGACUCUGGCAGAAAGAUUUCUCUGAAAGGUACAGAGAUAAGAACUCGGAGAUCUGAGGCUUCUUCACCAGGAAUUUAGCAUCCAUCAAACCUAAAACCGAAAAGACGGGAAGAAGAGAGACGUGGAACAGAAUCAACUAAGCGGGACUCCCAGGGGUCUACAGAGGCUGAAGCAGCCACGGUGGAGCCUGCAUUGGUCUGCGCUAGGCUUGGUGAAUUUCCAGGAAGAGGGACUGAGGCCAGGGUACUCCUGGCCCAGGAAAUUGUCAAAAGUGUCAAAAGGAUGGGGAUGUUGGAGGAGCUGGAGGAAGUUGGUGUUAUCUCAGGGGGAGCUUUCUGCUGGAGCUACUGUCUGGAACGGGCUCAGAUUCUGUUUUGAAGAAGUGCGCCCAUUGUUGACUGCCCACUGCCCUGGAGGAAUACAGCAAGCAGGGCAAAUUGUAUGGCUAAGGUUGAUUUCGUCUCUGGUAUGUGAUUAACUUGGGGAGAGGGAGAGAGAAAUAUUCACUGGGAACAAAGAAUUCAAAAUGAGUGAGGUGGACCUAGUGACAACCACACUACUUCCUACGUGAGGUUUAAUACGAAGUGAUCCUUUCUGAUGCCUGAAUUUGUCCUAGCAGGUAGCAAAGAAUGUCUAGACUCCCCAAAAGGCAAG
rnacentral:lncRNA from 1 species